UUUUGGGUUAAUUUGCCAAUGAGAAGAUGCAUGAAAUUGGGGAAGGUAGAAAUGAUGCGAUUAUUCUUCUCAGGAGAUUGUGAUUAUCGGACACAGCAGGCUUCCAGAACUUUUCUCCAUACCUUCAUAGUUGCAGUGGUCAGAGAACUCCAUGCUACAGUUCAUCAGCAAUUUAGUGUUUCUUUGUGCCUUGGAUGGUAGCCUUCUAGACAGACCUUUAUUCUCUCCACUUUUCCCACAUUUAUGUAAAUUCCUUUUUAAAAUACUUACUGGGGGCUUCAUUUUCUUGACAGAAUCUAGGCUGAUCCAGGGCCUUAAUAUGCUGUAUAAUGGAGAAGUUCUAAAUGUUCUUGCCUGGGAAAAUCAUAUCAUAUAGGGACCAUUUGAGGAAAAUUGCUUAUGGAAAGCCAGCAACCUAUCCAACAGAUCUCUCCAGGGAAGGGGUGUCCAUGUUCAUUUCUGCUGCCCCAGAGCACAGCACAGUGCGUGGGUAGAGUACAAACCCGAUGUACUUCAAAGAUCUGAACUUGGGCCUGUCACAGGGUGGAAAGAGACUUGAGAAAAUUUGCAGCCUCUCAACCAAGUGUCUGCUUCUUCCUGCUCCUCUCUGGUAGACUGCUCAGGAGUGGAAACACCAUCAUCCCAGGGAAGCUUAGGGCAUUCUUUGAAGAGAGUUUUCCCUGGAGGAGAGCGCUUCAAGAGGGGAAAAUAUGUCAGAUGUUUCCUAGACCAGUAUGAGGCAACCGUAGUGUAAGCUUCAAUCCAUGCCGUACAAGGGCCCAGGCAAAAGGUAAGCAACCAGGAUGUAUCAAGGAGCCCUAAUAUUUCUCUAUAUUGAUGUGAAUUAAAGAAAUUAAACAGUGAUCAUGCCUGCUCUACCUGGGUGGGGGUGAUGGGUAGGCCACAGGCUGGGCCUGAGCACAUGCCUCUGGCUGGAAAACAGGCAGGGCAGGAGGGAAGCAGAGAGAGAUGCAGGAUGUGUUUGAUGAUCUGCUCUGAAAGGCAAGGAGGGAAGUCAUUGAUUACUGAGCUUUGUUUGAUCUGCUCAAGGAUCAAAGGGACAAACACUAUUUGCAAAGAUGAAAGUUGACCUGAAAACCCUGUGUCCCCACCUGCUGGGAUGCCAGGCUUCCCUGUGCCCAUGGGUCAGGGUGGAGGACUCUCAGAGGAACCAGGGGCAAGACUGUAAGCCCAUCACUUCUUUAACCUGACCUCUGAACUCUCUCCUGACAAUUGCCUUUAAGAAGAGGUUUCUCUCAUCCCUUGGGCCCUCUCUGUUUGGGGAACUCAAGGUUAUAAGGAGACCUGGGGGCCAAGCAUUGCCUCUGGCCUUUAAAGAACAUGGAUAAAUCAUCAGAUAA